rnacentral:misc_RNA from 1 species
AAGACUAUAGACCUGCGGAGUACCUGCGGAGGGAUCAUUAAAGUGCCAAGCUGGGUAGAGCGUCUCAUCUUCUAGAAGGGAUCGCUCGACCCGCAAACAGGCCCCAACCGUGUCUAUCUGAACCUAGUUGCCUUGGCGGGUCAGUCGGAGUGAUCUUCGACCGCCGAGGGUGAGCCGUCGGGCUUAUCCGGGCGCGCGCCCGCCAAUGGAAAUUUAUUGAACUCUUGUCUAAGCUGGCUG